rnacentral:rRNA from 1 species
UACGGAGGGUGCAAACGUUGCUCGGAAUCAUUGGGCGUAAAGCGCACGUAGGCGGCCUGACAAGUGGAAGGUGAAAUCCCUCGGCUUAACCGAGGAACUGCCUUCCAAACUGUUUGGCUUGAGUCCGGGAGAGGUGAGUGGAACUGCGAGUGUAGAGGUGAAAUUCGUAGAUAUUCGCAAGAACACCAGUGGCGAAGGCGGCUCACUGGCCCGGUACUGACGCUGAGGUGCGAAAGCGUGGGGAGCAAACAGG